CUUCUUCAAAAGAAGAUCAACAGGGAAAACUCUAUUUUCUGCUGUUGUGGGGCCCCACUAAACCAUUCUUCUCGUUUAACCACUAACACAUCCACGUGGCAUGGGGAAAAACAAAUUCCUGGCACUUUGUGGGGGCAACAUUAUUUAUCAAUGCAUUACUUCAGAAGUUAGUCAAGUCAAAUUCGGAUAUCAUUUUUUCACAUUAACUAAAAUUGUAAAUUUAUUAGAUGUCAG